rnacentral:misc_RNA from 1 species
GGAGAGGUCAAGCAAGAAUCAAAUAUGGAGGGUACUUCUGCUGCAGCAGGAUCAUCUGAUGACAAGAAGUCCAUAGGAUUUGAAGAUGUGAAGAAUAUACAGGAUGAAUAUAUUAAGGCAUAUUAUGAGGCUCUAUUCAAGCGGCAAAAAGAGCAAGAAGAAGCUACCAAAUUGUUGCCGGAAACAUCAACUACAGAUGGAGUAUAUAACCCCUCUACUGAGCGCCAAGUUGGCAUGAAAUCCAAACGUGAAGAGGAGGACGAAGGAGAGGAUGUUGAAUGGGAGGAGGCCCCACCUGCAGGUAAUACUACAACUGGAAAUCUCAAGGUAGACUUGAAUGUUCAAGCAGAUGCUUCGGAGGAUGACAACGAUGAAGAAGAUGACAUAGACUGGGAAGAAGGUUGAUGGUCAA